rnacentral:rRNA from 1 species
CAUAUAAGUAAGUGGUGGAAAUUAAACCAAAUGGGAUUCUGUUAGUAAUUGCGAAUGAACAUAGACAUGCUUAGCUUGAUAAAUGGAGCCUCUGGCUUUGAAUUGUGUUUGUGAACAUGUAUUACCAACAGAGGUGUGGGUGUUAGCGUAUUGGAAGAAAGUGUCAAUGAAGGUGAGAGUCCUUGUUGUCAUGUGCAGCCCUCUGUGCACGGAGUAUGUUUGGUGAGUCACACUCCUUGGCAUUGGAAUGCAAAUUGGGUGGUAAGUUUCAUGCACAGGUAAAUACAUGAUUGAGACUGAUAGCGCACAAGUACCAUGAGGGAAAUAUGAAAAGGACUUUGAAAAGAGAGUUAAAUGAGUUUGCACUUGCUGAACAGAAAGUAAACAGAUUUGAUUAUACUGCGUGAGAUUGUGGUGUUUGCUUUGCAUGUCGAUGUGAAUUGCAAAUGCAAUGUUUGUUGCUGUGUGUGCUAGUUAUUUGUGCAUGUGCUGACCAUUGCACAUGAAUGGUAAUAUCUCUGCGGGGGGUGAUUGUAUGUGCAUGCAUGCAUGUGUGCUCAGGCAUGUGUUUGGUGAUGGUGUGUUGGUAUGUGUGUGUGUGUUCUGUGCUGGGUGUUGUUCGCUGUAUGGGCCCACAAGCUUUAACACUGACUUGCUGGUAAUAUGAUUCUGCUUGACCCGUCUUGAAACA